rnacentral:rRNA from 1 species
AUGCUUAAGAUUGAUCUUGCUAAGGCUUUUGAUCGUAUAAAAUGGAAUUUUAUUGUCUUUGCUCUUGCUUGUAAAGGUUUGCAUUCUCAUUUUAUCAAUCUUAUUUAUGCUUGCAUUUCCUCUCCCAGUUUUUCUGUCAUCAUUAAUGGUCAACCUACUCAGAAAUUUAAAAGCAGCAGAGGCAUUAGGCAAGGAUGUCCGCUUUCUCCUUAUCUUUUCGUGCUUGCUAUUAAUGAACUUUCUCUUGCACUUAAUGAGGCCAUGGCUAAUAACCACUUACAUGGUAUUUUGCUUGGUACAAAUUGCCCCCCUAUCCGCUCUUUACUCUUUGCAGAUGAUCUUUUGGUCUGUGGUCAAGCAAGCAUUCAGGAGGCUCAAACGAUGGCUCAAAUUAUUCAACAUUUUUGUGCUCGAUCAGGUCAAACUCCUAACUGGUCCAAGUCGGCUAUUCUUUUUAGUGCACAUGUCAAUCAAUCAACUAUUGCUGAUAUCAGGAGCAUCUUUCCUGUUAGUUCCAUGGAUGAGAGUUUUAAUCACCUGGGCCACCCCUUAAUCCUUCCAGCCAAGAAUAGGGUUGUAGCUUACAAUUUUGUUCUUGAUAAAUUUAAGGCUAAACUUCCUUCUUAUAAAGCUAACAUGCUUUGA